UAUUUCAAACCACAGUAAUCCACGUCCACGUUCCAGUGCUGCGCGGAACAUGGUCGGUCUUUCUAGCAGUGGUUGGAAUCACGCCAGCUAGGACAAACCCCAUCAAUCAUUGGUCUCUAUCAAACAAAACAAUAAAAAAUUCAACAUAUUACGCUUGCGGGACCCACUCCCACUACCCUCACCCUCGGUUCUAUUAACUCUAACUCAUUAGGAUUAUAAAUCCGCACCUUCCUCCUUAGCCGAUCACACUCACUCGCUCACAACUCACAGGAAUCCGAGGCAAGAACAGAAAAAAAAAACAUGGAGGGGAAGGAGCAGGAUGUUUC
rnacentral:lncRNA from 1 species